UACAGAGGGUGCGAGCGUUAAUCGGAAUUACUGGGCGUAAAGCGUGCGCAGGCGGCUUCGCAAGUCAGGCGUGAAAUCCCCGGGCUUAACCUGGGAAUGGCGUCUGAAACUACGGAGCUGGAGUGUGGCAGAGGGAGGUAGAAUUCCACGUGUAGCGGUGAAAUGCGUAGAUAUGUGGAGGAAUACCGAUGGCGAAGGCAGCCUCCUGGGCCAACACUGACGCUCAUGCACGAAAGCGUGGGGAGCAAACAGG
rnacentral:rRNA from 1 species